GGUUAAGUGACUAAGCGUACACGGUGGAUGCCUUGGCAGUCAGAGGCGAUGAAAGACGUAGUAACUUGCGAUAAGCCCAGAUUAGGUAGUAACAACCAUUUGAGUCUGGGAUUUCUGAAUGGGGAAACCCACUUACAUAAGUAAGUAUCAUUAACUGAAUACAUAGGUUAAUGAGGCGAACCGGGGGAACUGAAACAUCUAAGUACCCCGAGGAAAAGAAAUCAACCGAGAUUCCGAAAGUAGCGGCGAGCGAAAUUGGACUAGCCCUUAAGCUUUACACGCGUUAGACGAACGGUCUGGAAAGUCCGACGAUACAGGGUGAUAGUCCCGUAGUUGACGACGUGUGUUCAGUGAAAUCGAGUAGGGCGGGACACGUGAUAUCCUGUCUGAAUAUGGGGGGACCAUCCUCCAAGGCUAAAUACUACUGACUGACCGAUAGUGAACCAGUACCGUGAGGGAAAGGCGAAAAGAACCCCUGUGAGGGGAGUGAAAUAGAACCUGAAACCGUGUACGUACAAGCAGUAGGAGCAGGCUUUGUCCUGUGACUGCGUACCUUUUGUAUAAUGGGUCAGCGACUUAUAUUCAGUGGCAAGGUUAACCAUCUAGGGGAGCCGUAGGGAAACCGAGUCUUAACUGGGCGUUCAGUCUCUGGAUAUAGACCCGAAACCAGGUGAUCUAGCCAUGGGCAGGUUGAAGGUUGAGUAACAUCAACUGGAGGACCGAACCGACUAAUGUUGAAAAAUUAGCGGAUGACUUGUGGCUAGGGGUGAAAGGCCAAUCAAACCUGGAGAUAGCUGGUUCUCCCCGAAAGCUAUUUAGGUAGCGCCUCGGACGAAUACUACUGGGGGUAGAGCACUGUUAAGGCUAGGGGGUCAUCCCGACUUACCAACCCUUUGCAAACUCCGAAUACCAGUAAGUACUAUCCGGGAGACACACGGCGGGUGCUAACGUCCGUCGUGGAGAGGGAAACAACCCAGACCGCCAGCUAAGGUCCCAAAUUACUACUAAGUGGGAAACGAUGUGGGAAGGCUCAGACAGCCAGGAUGUUGGCUUAGAAGCAGCCAUCAUUUAAAGAAAGCGUAAUAGCUCACUGGUCGAGUCGGCCUGCGCGGAAGAUGUAACGGGGCUAAGUAGUAAACCGAAGCUGCGGCAAUAUACUUUUGUAUAUUGGGUAGGGGAGCGUUCUGUAAGCGGUUGAAGGUGUGUGGUAACGCAUGCUGGACGUAUCAGAAGUGCGAAUGCUGACAUGAGUAACGAUAAAGGGGGUGAAAAACCUCCUCGCCGGAAGACCAAGGGUUCCUGUCCAACGUUAAUCGGGGCAGGGUAAGUCGACCCCUAAGGCGAGGCCGAAAGGCGUAGUCGAUGGGAAACGGGUUAAUAUUCCCGUACUUCUUACAAUUGCGAUGGGGGGACGGAGAAGGCUAGGUGGGCCUGGCGACGGUUGUCCAGGUUCAAGUGCGUAGGCUUAAGAGUUAGGUAAAUCCGGCUCUUUUUAAGGCUGAGACACGACGUCGAGCACCUACGG
rnacentral:rRNA from 1 species